UACUAGGAGUAGCACUCGCAUAUCAAUAAGCGGAGGAAAAGAAACUAACAAGGAUUCCCCUAGUAACGGCGAGUGAAGCGGGAAGAGCUCAAAUUUGAAAUCUUAAAGGGUUUCCCUUUACGAAUUGUAGUUUAAAGAAGUGUUUUCUGUUGAGGUUUUGGUAAAAGUUCUUUGGAAUAGGACAUCAUAGAGGGUGAGAAUCCCGUAUUUGACCUUUACUUUCAACUUUGUGAUACACUUUCAAAGAGUCGGAUUGUUUGGGAAUGCAGUCCAAAAUGGGUGGUAAAUUUCAUCUAAAGCUAAAUAUUGGCGAGAGACCGAUAGCAAACAAGUACCGUGAGGGAAAGAUGAAAAGAACUUUGAAAAGAGAGUUAAACAGUACGUGAAAUUGUCAAAAGGGAAGCGUUUGACACCAGUGUUGUUUUUCUGAAAAUCAAUUAAAGAACUGUUUAUGCUAAGUUGUUUAGACUUUAUCAGCUAACUGUUUAGUUUUGAGCUUUUCUUUAAUGCACUUUUCAGUUAACAAGUCAACAUCAAUUUCUUUUGCUGUAAAAAAGCUUGAGGAAGGUGGCUUGAGAUUCGUCUUAAGUGUUUAUAGCCUCUUGCCUAUGCAGUCGGAGAGAUUGAGGUCUGCAGCGUAGAUCCUUCGGGGCUAAAUGCAUUUGUGCUAAGUUAUAGCAUUUUAUAGACAACUUGUUGACUAUGAUUUGUCUUGUAGCUUACUCGCUUAUGUUAUUUUACCUACGCUUAGGAUGUUGAUCUCUCACAGUCGAGC
rnacentral:rRNA from 1 species